UCUCUUCAUUUUAUGGAUUGUUAUCCUUAGGUUUUUUUUUUUCCUUGGCAAACAAUCCUUUAGCAUUGUGAGUCUCUUUCUUGGUAGCAUGUUGCAGCUCCAUUUCUUUAGAUUUUAAAGUUGUAAUGAUGGAAUUAACUGUAAUGGUAUCUCUACUGUACUUUAGGACUGUUUGCAUCCUUGUAGGAAUCUAAAAGCGAGUUCAACAAAACAAAGGUUUCAUUAUCUUUGCCUAUUGUUUCUCCUAAAGAUUUGAACUCAGUUGUAAUCCUCUUAUACUCAUCAAGAUUUUCAUUCAAGUUCUUUGCAAAAUCCAUUUUGAACGUGAAGAACCUUUCUUUAAGGUACAUCUUCUUGGGAAGUUUUGACGGGUCGAGAAUAACCUUGGAUUCCUUUUGUUGCCCCAAGAUCACCUUGAUCUUAGCUUUCCACAAUCCAAAAUGGCACUUUGAGAUGGCAGCACAUGGAGAUGAAUGAUAAAGCCACGAUUAUGCCUUCUACUUUCAUGCAAUGAAGGAGAUGCCCUAGCAAAACCAAAUUCCCUAAUUCAAAAUAAAUCUAAGAAGGCGAUAGAGAGAAGAAGUCUGGAGCAAUCUUGUUGAGACGAGCUGAUGAAGAAAUUACGGUAAGAUGAAAAAGAUGAAGAUGAUGAUGAAUAAGAAGACACGAGAAUUAUGUGGUUCAGCUUAAAGAAGCCUAUAUCCACUACAAAGGAAGGGAGCUUGUAUUGUUUUAUUAAUCAAAACUGAGAGAAUUUACAGAAA